CAUUGCUGUAAUGUGCCAGGUGUACUUGCAAUAAUCAGAGAAAGUGCGCCAGAGUCAAAUCACACAGACAGCACAACUCCUGGCUGCAGCUGAAGGAGGACGAUUGAUUUCUGGCAGUUCGUCUUACCAUUGCUUGUAAGCUGGAUUGGGUAAGAUGGAUCAUCUUUAAAGGCACCAGGAGUUAAGGCAGAUGUGGAGGCACAACGGGUGAUACCAGACACACACCAAGCACAUUAUGUUCGGACAUUCAAUCAUGACAGGAUCCAGGUGGAUGCUGUCCAUUGAGAAAAGAGUUUGUUCAGCGGUUUCUGGAUAGAAUUAAUUCCAAAGAUGGGAAAAAGUGCACAUCCAGACAAGGAGCAAGCAAAAAGACAAGGAACUUGGUGCAGAGAAAAGCUGUGGCCAUUAACCCCCAUGUGAACAGCUUCAUGCAGUCCCUGAUUGAGUUCGAAUGGACGACUUCAAAGUAAAGGCCACUGUGGUCUGUCUGCCACAGUUUAAUGCAUUUAUUUUUAG